ACACGUAGGGGCCUGACGUUGUUCGGAAUCAUUGGGCGUAAAGGGCGCGCAGGCGGCCGUCCAAGUCCGGUGUUAAAUGGUCGGGCUCAACCCGAUCAUGCGCUGGAAACUGGGCGGCUGGAGUCCCGGAGGGGAUGCCGGAAUUCCAGGUGUAGGGGUGAAAUCUGUAGAUAUCUGGAAGAACACCGAUGGCGAAGGCAGGCAUCUGGCCGGAGACUGACGCUGAGGCGCGAAGGCGCGGGGAGCGAACAGGAUUAGAUACCCUGGUAGUCCACACUGUAAACGAUGAAUGCUAGGUGUAGGGGGUAUCGACCCCUUCUGUGCCGCAGUUAACGCAUUAAGCAUUCCACCUGGGGAGUACGUUCGCAAGAAUGAAACUUAAAGGAAUUGACGGGG
rnacentral:rRNA from 1 species